AAGUCGUAACAAGGUUUCCGUAGGUGAACCUGCGGAAGGAUCAUUAAACGUAACAAUAAGCCUAUGAUGCCGGCUUUGCCCUAUGGUCGGGUAGAUGUCCGGAGGUUCACGCUUUAGCGGGUGUGUUAGCGGCCACAGAGGUGGGCGUUGUCGGGGCCGGAUGGCGAUGCACAGGGAUUGGCGUGCUGACCCUACCGGUGAAGGCUUCGUUCGCAGUACCCGGAAGGGCUACACUCUGGAAGGUAUGGGGGUCUACGAAACCCCCUUCACGCGCACAUGACUGAAUCCUUAUUAUACUCGUACCUCUCGUUCUCCUUCGGUGGGGCAACCUGCCGUUGGAACUUUACAAACCCUUUUUUGCAUCUGGCAUUACCUGUUCUGAUACAAACAAUCGUUACAACUUUCAACAAUGGAUCUCUUGGCUCUG
rnacentral:misc_RNA from 1 species